rnacentral:rRNA from 1 species
GACGAACGCUGGCGGCGUGCUUAACACAUGCAAGUCGAACGGUAAGGCCCCAGCUUGCUGGGGUACACGAGUGGCGAACGGGUGAGUAACACGUGGGUGACCUGCCCCGCACUUCGGGAUAAGCCUGGGAAACUGGGUCUAAUACCGGAUAGGACCGCACCGUGAGGGUGUGGUGGAAAGUUUUUCGGUGUGGGAUGGGCCCGCGGCCUAUCAGCUUGUUGGUGGGGUAAUGGCCUACCAAGGCGGCGACGGGUAGCCGGCCUGAGAGGGUGGACGGCCACAUUGGGACUGAGACACGGCCCAGACUCCUACGGGAGGCAGCAGUGGGGAAUAUUGCACAAUGGCGGAAGCCUGAUGCAGCGACGCCGCGUGGGGGAUGACGGCCUUCGGGUUGUAAACUCCUUUCACCAUCGACGAAGGUUUUCUGACGGUAGAUGGAGAAGAAGCACCGGCUAACUACGUG